rnacentral:rRNA from 1 species
AGAGGACGACCAGCCACACUGGAACUGAGACACGGUCCAGACUCCUACGGGAGGCAGCAGUGGGGAAUAUUGGACAAUGGGGGCAACCCUGAUCCAGCCAUGCCGCGUGGGUGAAGAAGGCCUUCGGGUUGUAAAGCCCUUUUGUACGGGAAGAAAAGCCAGCGGGUAAUAUCCGCGGGUCAUGACGGUACCGUAAGAAUAAGCACCGGCUAACUUCGUGCCAGCAGCCGCGGUAAUACGAAGGGUGCAAGCGUUACUCGGAAUUACUGGGCGUAAAGCGUGCGUAGGCGGUGAGUUAAGUCUGAUGUGAAAUCCCCGGGCUCAACCUGGGAAUGGCAUUGGAUACUGGCUCGCUAGAGUACGGUAGAGGGUGGUGGAAUUCCCGGUGUAGCAGUGAAAUGCGUAGAGAUCGGGAGGAACAUCUGUGGCGAAGGCGGCCACCUGGACCAGUACUGACGCUGAGGCACGAAAGCGUGGGGAGCAAACAGGAUUAGAUACCCUGGUAGUCCACGCCCUAAACGAUGCGAACUGGAUGUUGGGGGAACUUGCCCUUCAGUAUCGAAGCUAACGCGUUAAGUUCGCCGCCUGGGGAGUACGGUCGCAAGACUGAAACUCAAAGGAAUUGACGGGGGCCCGCACAAGCGGUGGAGUAUGUGGUUUAAUUCGAUGCAACGCGCAGAACCUUACCUGGCCUUGACAUGUCGCGAACCCCUGAGAGAUUGGGGGGUGCCUUCGGGAACGCGAACACAGGUGCUGCAUGGCUGUCGUCAGCUCGUGUCGUGAGAUGUUGGGUUAAGUCCCGCAACGAGCGCAACCCUUGUCCUUAGUUGCCAGCACGUAAAGGUGGGAACUCUAAGGAGACCGCCGGUGACAAACCGGAGGAAGGUGGGGAUGACGUCAAGUCCUCAUGGCCCUUACGGCCAGGGCUACACACGUACUACAAUGGUCGGUACAGAGGGUUGCCAAGCCGCGAGGUGGAGCCAAUCCCAGAGAACCGAUCUCAGUCCGGAUCGGAGUCUGCAACUCGACUCCGUGAAGUCGGAAUCGCUAGUAAUCGCGGAUCAGCAAUGCCGCGGUGAAUACGUUCCCGGGCCUUGUACACACCGCCCGUCACACCAUGGGAGUUUGUUGCACCAGAAGCAGGUAGCUUAACCGCAAGGGGAGCGCUUGCCACGGUGUGGCCGAUGACUGGGGUGAAGUCGGAACAAGGUA